AAGCAGUGUCAACAGAUAGCAAUCAAAUUAUAACAUAGUUGUUCGUAUUUUUAUUUCACUCUUCCUUCGGGCAUACCAUCCCUUUACCGAAUCUGCACAUCUCAUCAUAUACAAUAGGCAGAUAAACUUUCACAUAAAAGUGAGCUCAUGUGACAUAGAUAUAUCGUAUGAUUUCACAUCACCUCUCACACUGAUCCGAUGUCAC
rnacentral:lncRNA from 1 species